rnacentral:rRNA from 1 species
CCUACGGGAGGCAGCAGUGGGGAAUAUUGCACAAUGGGGGAAACCCUGAUGCAGCGACGCCGCGUGAGUGAAGAAGUAUUUCGGUAUGUAAAGCUCUAUCAGCAGGGAAGAAAAUGACGGUACCUGCCUAAGAAGCCCCGGCUAACUACGUGCCAGCAGCCGCGGUAGUACGUAGGGGGGAAGCGUUAUCCGGCUUAACUGGGUGUAAAGGGAGGGUAGGUGGCAUGGUAAGCAAGAAGGGAAAACCCAGGGCUCAACCCUGUGGAUUGCUUUUGGAACUAUCAAGCUAGAGUGCUGGAGGGGGAAGCGGAAUUCCUAGUGUAGCGGUGAAAUGCGUAGAUAUUAGGAGGAACACCAGUGGCGAAGGCGGCGUAUUGGACAGAAACUGACACUGAGGCUCGAAAGCGUGGGGAGCAAACAGGAUUAGAUACCCGGGUAGUC